GACCUCUAGAAUGUGUGCGGGGCCAUAUGGACUGGGAUCAACUAGGGACUGGGAUCAGCUGGGGGCUGGGAUCAACCAGAGAUUGGGAUUAAAUAUGGAAUUAGAUCUUAAGGACUGGGAUCAAAUGGAGACUGGGAUCAACUAUGGACUGGGAUCAACAAGGGACUGGGAUCAGAUAUGGACUGGGAUCAGAUAUGGACUGGGAUCAAAUGGAGACUGGAAUCAGAUAUGGACUGGGACAAAUUUGGGACUGGGAUCAGCUAUGGACUGGGAUCAACCAAGGACUGGGAUCCUACAGACUGGGAUCAAAUAGGGACUGGAAUCAGCUAUGGACUGGGAUCAACUCGAGAUUGGGAUCAACUUUGGACUGGGAUCAGCUCGGGACUGGGAUCCUGGGAACUGGGAUCAACUUCAGGCUGGGAUCCUACAGACUGGGACCCUGUGGGUUGGGACCGCACAGACCGGCACCAUAGGGACCGGGAUGGCUGCACCGGAACGAGGCGAACCGAGGCGGUCCCGCUCUGCCGGUCCCGCCCGGUCCCGGGGAUCCCUCCUGGUCCUUCCCAGUCCCUCCCAGUCCCGCCCAGUUCCCUCCCAGUCCUGCCCAGUCCCACCCAGUCCCGCGGCCAAAACUCCCCAGAGCGAUCUCGGAGGUCCCGGAGCAAUCCCGGAGCCAAUCCCGGUUCCGAAACCGAUCCCCGGUUCGAGUCUCGGUCCCGAUCACGGAUCCCAAUCCCGAUCUGGGUUCGAGUCUCGGUCUCGCUCUCGGUGUUGGUCUCGGUCUCGAUCCCGGAUCCCGAUCCCUAUCUCCGUUUCAGUCUUGGUUCUGGUGUCGGUCCCGAUCCAGGUCCCACUCCCGCUCUCUAUCCCGGAUCCCGAUCCCGAUCUCGGUUCAAGUCCCGGUUCUGAUCCCGGUUCGAGUCUCGGUCUCAGUCCUGAUCGCGGUUCGGUUUGGUCCGGUCCCGUCCGGUUUGGUUCAGUUCGGUUCAGUUUGGUCCGGUUCGGUCCGGUUCUGUUCGGUUUGGUUCGGUUCACGGUGCAGGGGAUGAAGAUCGCGAUCUUCGGAGCCACCAGCAGAACCGGGCGGGUCACGCUGGGGCUGGCGCUGGAGCAGGGUACGGGACUCCCCAAAAAUGGGAACGGGGACCCCAAAAUGGGAAUGAGAACCCCAAAAACGGGCACAGGGACCCCAAAUAUGGGCAUUGGGACCCAAAAUGGGCAUGGGGAACCCAAAAACAGGCACAGGAACCCAAAAAAUUGGCACAGGGGACCAAAAACUGGCAUGGGGACCCCAAAAUUUGGGGGAGUUU
rnacentral:lncRNA from 1 species